rnacentral:lncRNA from 1 species
CCAAAGUAAACGAGAACGGUGAGUUUGGGUCCAUCUAACGAGGCACAGCCCAUGUCGCCAGCGAGAAUGAAGGCCGAUCUCGUUUUUUUUGGUGAAAAAAGCCCGUCUCUCUUUGGUGCGAUCGAGAAGAGUGCAGAAGAUUUUAGGGCAAAUAUGCGGCCGAUUCGGCAAGAAAUCAGAGCAACCUGUUUAGAGAGAGAGAGAGAGAGAGAGAGAGU